rnacentral:rRNA from 1 species
UGAAUACGAGAUGCUACGGCGUCGAAGCAGUCUAUGUCAUACUUCCAAGAAAAGCUUGCACUGUCAUAAACAAAUAAUGCCUGUACCAUAACCGACACAGGUGGGUAGGUAGAGUAUACUAAGGGGCGCGAGAUAACUCUCUCUAAGGAACUCGGCAAAAUGACUCCGUAACUUCGGGAGAAGGAGUGCCUUAUUUUAUAAGGUUGCAAUAACAAGAUCCAAGCAACUGUUUACCAAAAACACAGGUCUCCGCUAAGUCGUAAGACGAUGUAUGGGGGCUGACGCCUGCCCAGUGCCAGAAGGUUAAAGAAGUUGGUUAGCAUCCGCGAAGCUGAUAACUGAAGCCCUGGUGAACGGCGGCCGUAACAAUAACGGUCCUAAGGUAGCGAAAUUCCUUGUCGGGUAGUUCCGACCCGCACGAAAGGCGUAAUGAUUUGGAUACUGUCUCAGAGAGGGGCUCGGUGAAAUAGACUUGUCUGUGAAGAUGCGGACUACCUGCACCAGGACAGAAAGACCCUAUGAAGCUUUACUGUAACUUGAAAUUGAAAUUGGACUUUACUUGCGCAGUAUAGGUGGGAGGCGUUGAGAAUAUUCUUGCGGGAAUGUUGGAGCCAUCAGUGAGAUACCACUCUUGUAAUGUUAGAUUUCUAACUUUGUAUCAUUAUCUGGUCAAAGGACAGUUUCAGGCGGGCAGUUUGACUGGGGCGGUCGCCUCCCAAACGGUAACGGAGGCGCACAAAGGUUUCCUCUGAACGGGCAGAAAUCGUAUCUAGAGUGUAAAGGCAUAAGGAAGCUUGACUGAGAGACCUACAAGUCGAGCAGGGACGAAAGUCGGUCUUAGUGAUCUGACGGUGCUGAGUGGAAAGGCCGUCACUCAACGGAUAAAAGUUACUCUAAGGAUAACAGGCUGAUCUCCCCCAAGAGUUCACAUCGACGGGGAGGUUUGGCACCUCGAUGUCGGCUCAUCGCAUCCUGGGGCGGUAGUACGUCCCAAGGGUUGGGCUGUUCGCCCAUGAAAGCGGUACGCGAGCUGGGUUCAGAACGUCGUGAGACAGUUCGGUCCAUAUCCGGUGUAGGCGUUAGAAUAUUGAGAGGAGCCUUCUUUAGUACGAGAGGACCGAGAAGGACAUACCUCUGGUGUACCAGUUAUCGUGCCAACGGUAAACGCUGGGCAGCUAUGUAUGGAGUGGAUAACCGCUGAAAGCAUCUAAGUGGGAAGCCCACCUCAAGAUAAG